rnacentral:lncRNA from 1 species
GUGACAGAUGGGAAUCUUCUCCAGUGACCAGAAUCCAUGCCUUACCUUGGGAGCCCAAGUCAACGGUCAUAACUUUUUGAGGACAAAUGUUUAUUGCUGCUGCUGGGGGCAGCUGCUCUUGUACCCACUUUCAAAUGGGCUGUGGAAGAGACAACGCUCAUCUGGCUGCUGUUAUCCUGCAACUAAUAGAAGAAAGAAACAUGGAGAAAAUGGAGCAGAUAUUCAAAGUAACUAUAUUUGACUUUGGUUAGCAAUGAUACAGACUUGGCAGGCAUAAAACUGACUGUGCCAUUCUGACACCCUCGCUCUCUCAGCAGGUCUGAUUUACUCCUGAUGUUCACUUCUGGUGAGUUAAUAUAUUAUAGCAGUUUAGAAUUAAUUGCACCCUGUUGUAUAAGUUAAUUCUCAU